rnacentral:lncRNA from 1 species
UCCAGUAUUCUUGCCUGGAGAAUCCCAUGGACAGAGGAGCCUGGUGGGCCACAGUCCUCAGGGCUGCACAGAGCUGGACUCAACUGAAGUGACUCAGCACAGCACAGAAUGCUUCCAAGGCCCACUUUAAAUAAGCACCUCUCUGAGGUCUUCCCCUACUUCCUAGAUAUCUUCCUCUACUGCAGUGUUGUUCACCAUAUUACCUAAAGCCCAGUAAUAUAAAACUAUGCUUCUCAAUGUCUGUUCCCCUCCAAGGGCAGUGUAUUCACAAAAGGCAGACGCUUGAUUCCUUUGUGCAUAUAUCCCCAGCAUUUAGCACAGAUUCUGGUACUCAGUAAAUGUCUGGUGAAUGGCUUAGGAGUAUUUCAUUGGGAAUUCUUAAGCUGAAGGAACUAAAACAUCUAUUCUUGCUCCCAGGUCCCUUGAUAAGACUAACAAAUGAUCAUAAACGUAUGCUAAUUAGAUCUAUUAUAAACCCAGUUUUCAACCUCAGCACCUAUGGUGAUACCCAGCAGUUCUAUCACUUUUUCCACUGCCUGCCUAUCUCCAACUCUCACGCAACUAUUUUAAAGGUUUUUUUUUUUUUUUUUUGAAUCGUGCUUCACAGCACACAAGAUCUUAGCUCCCUGACCAGAGGGCAAACCUGUGUUCCCUGCACUGGAAGCACAGAGUCUUAACCACUGGAUCACCAGGGAAGUCCCUGCAAUGACCAUUUUCUGAUUGCAUAGACACAACCAAGACAUGAGCAAACCUCAGUUUUAAAUUAGAGGCUUUCUUUGCGAAAGCAGUCUUAGAAUAAAUAGCUCAUUAGAGCAAAGUAAAUGAGAUCCUUACUAUAGAUAGACCUAUAUUACUAGAGAGGAAAGGCCAGAAAGUCAGAUACUCCCACAGUUACUUCUCUUGGACUGGCAAACCCUCAACUUGCCCAGAUUCCUCUACUGCUUUAAUUUGUUGAUUUACUCAUUCAUUCACCAUGCAUUCACUAAUAUUUUUCAACUAGUAUUUGUUGUUUAUAGAAAAGGGUUAUAGAAAAGGCAGAGGAACCAGAGAUCAAACUGCAAACAUCUGAUGGAUCAUCAAAAAAGCAAGAGAGUUCCAGAAAAACAUCUAUUUCUGCUUUAUUGACUAUGCCAAACCUUUUGAAUGUGUGGCUCACAAUAAAC